UAAUCUGGUCAUGACAAAUCUUUAUCUAGUUAUAACAGAUUCAUAUCUAACUACUCAGAAUCACUCAUGAGAACUAAUGCGUGAAUAAUAUUUUUUUAAGAU
rfam:Populus trichocarpa scaffold_16_contig_103, whole genome shotgun sequence.